rnacentral:pre_miRNA from 1 species
UAUGAGUUUAUUUUUUAGUUUCUAGAUACAAUAUUUUGACUUUUUGUCUUAUUUAAAUUUUUUUGCGAUUAAUAUUUUUAUUGUUACUAGAUGAUAAAAUAAGAAUAAUACUUUAUGCGUAACUAAUUUUUUAAGUUUUUAUAUAAAUAUUUUAAAUAAGACGAAUGAUCAAACAUUAGACACGGAAAUC